UCUCAAAAAAGCAGAUGGGCAGAUAGCUUGCACAUGGCAAGGGAAUUUUCAGGGUAUACUGAGAAAACUGACUGAUACCUCCGAGAGGAUGCUAACACAAGCCGAGUGAAAAAGAGCAAAUACAAAACUCAGUCUACUACCACUCUGCAUGAAGUGUUUCCAGGACUUGGUGACCAUCACACAGUAAACAGAUAUGACACCAAGGCGGGCCAAAGACGCAGCGGAAACCACGUGGGCUCCUAGCAGAAUGACACAGGGUACCUCCACAGGCAAAACAAAGAAGUUGGACAACUGGAAUAAGUAAGUCCCUCUCCGUCCUCUGAGAGGGUAGUGUGCCUCAG